ensembl:lncRNA
GAACCGUUGAACAAAGUUUAUCUUUAGAGUUUAUUCUCUACUCAGACGUCAUAUAAUAAUCAAACAGCGUGCCAUGAAGUCUGCAGGCUCAGCCCUUCAAUGCGCCUUUGUCCAUCUGCCUCGUAUUCGACCAGCAGGCCCCGCAGUGAGUAGACGAGGCACAUCCUCCGUCUUAUAUGAACCGUCUGCAUUAAAGCCCUUUUGUUUAAACCCCUUUCAAAUAAAAAAUAAAAAGUAGUUGGAGGUGGGUUUGUCAUAUGUGAUGGAUUUUAACCACCUUCUUUGUGUUCUCAGAUUGUAUUUACUCAGUGAGCUUAUUAAAACGUACUCAUUAUUACUGGUAGAAAAGCACACAUACACGCCUCCAACAACCAGUGCUUUUACACUUCAUGUCAUCAUUCACACAUUCACGCUGAUUCACUGAUACAUUCCUCACCCAGGCCUUCAGGGAUGUCCUCCACAGUCCCACCCGAAGGAAUACCACCUGUGUCGAUCUCUUCUCUCGAUGUCUCGCUUUUCUUGAAAUGUCCGUCUUGAAAAUGGCGUUGUACAUCUGGGACUAAAUUGAUCUCUUCUCCUCCAUUGUGGAGAAGUCAUUGUGGGUUGAAACACAAAUUAACUCGACUUGAUGAUUUUCCUGUGAAGACAGGAGUUUAAAGAUUCUGGCAUGUAAUAAGCAGAAAUUUGCGGUUUCUUCAACUUUUUAAAGGAUAAUGAAGAAAAAUGAAAGAAUGAGUUAUUUUAGGAUAUCAUAUAUUAGGAUACAUUGUAUCUGGAAUCUUUUCCUUUAUGUUGACUUUCAUAUAACAUUUCAGGUAUAAACUGCAACAACAACUCAUCUAGCUCAUGCAGAGAAAGGGAUGAGAAUAGCCGCACUUUUCAGUUUUUAAAUACAAGAAUUCUCUGACACACUGUUGCAUCACUAACAGAAGUGAUAGCAGACACUUUUCACCCCAGAUAGUGUCUAGUAGUCCAUUCAUAAAAUGCUUGAAUGCAAUAAACAUGUGAGUUUUAACCUAAAGCAGGCGGAGCAAAGAGCAUGUGCACGAUAAGAUUGUGGAGACUGAUGUACUGCUUCGUUCAUUUAUCAUCAGACUUAUUUGACCCUAAUUGAUCCUACACUGUCAACAGGAUCGAUUCCCCGAUGGUUGGGUCGGCACGUGGGAUUUGUUGAUGAUAAGAAACAUUUUAAUUAAACAAUAUUAAGCAUCAUUCAUUCAGAAUCCUCCCAACUGUGUCUGAAAUGACUCAGCGUACAUCUAGACUGUUUAUAUAAAAAGCCAUAAAAGUGUGCUGUUGGAAAUAUUCCAUCCCGAAGUGAAGAGUGCUGUUAUCGGGUGAACUCUGCAGUCCUUUAUUCUGAGGUUCCCAGCUACACAAAAAGCAGCAUUAGUAGAUGAAAAGUUGGGUUUUGGGAUGAUGUUGCAUUCUCUGCACCUCAGCAUGGAUUGUUCACAAAAUGAAGAUAUAUUCAGAUAUCUUAUCUGGUUAUACAUUUUAAAAACUUUAGCAGUUUUCUCUUUUUUUAUGUUGUAUUUCCCCUAAACGACACCCGGUUGCUCCCUAUGUAAAAACAAUAUUUUUUAGAUGUAAUUGAGCUACUUAGAUCCUUUUUAUUGUAUCAAAUGAAAACAGACAUCGGGCCACACUGUUUUUUUACGGGUGCAUGAUAGAGUGAUUUUGGAGGGAUCAACUUCAUUUAUUUGAAAUGUUCGAACUGCAAGUGUACAUACUUUGUGUACACAAAUAUGAUAUUUAGAAGAAAAUCCAUUUCAUGUUUUCUUCAAGUGGAUUAAGUUGGAUUGCUAGAACUUUGGGUUUCCUUCUCUUUAAUCCCUAUUCUGUUUCCCCCUGGUCUUCUCUUGGCCUUUUCUAGUUUCUCCCUCUCAGCUGGAGUGCAAAACCAGUUUAUUCCAAUUGUAUCAUUAUAACAUACAGGUUUAAGAUCCAUUGACAUUGUAGCAGCUGAUUUGAGAUUUCCUGCUCGUUUUAUAGACUGGGAGAUAAAUGAUGAUGACGCCCCUUGUCUCCAGCAGAGAGCAGUGUUGCUACACAUGAC